CAAACCUUACACACAGUGCUUAGUUUUAUUUCUAACAUUGCUUUGGCUGGGCGCUUGCCGUCUGGCCAGAGGUUAACCAAAACACAAGAUUUUCAAUCUUUUUUUUAAAAAUUAGUCAAGAAGUUUAUUAAAACAAAUCUUCAAAACUUUCAACAACGGAUCUCUUGGUUCUCGCAACGAUGAAGAACGCAGCGAAAUGCGAUACGUAAUGUGAAUUGCAGGUUUUCGUGAAUCAUCGAAUCUUUGAACGCAUAUUGCGCCCUCUGGUAUUCCGGAGGGCAUGCCUGUUUGAGCGUCAUUUCUCUCUCAAACCCCUAGGGUUUGGUAUUGAGUGAUACUCUGUUAAACUGGGUUAACUUGAAAUAGUGUGGCAAGAGCUGCUUUGCGCAGGUCUUCUCUGAACUAACGUUUCUAGGUUCUACCAAUUCGUUAUGGGCAGUGGAGGGCGCGUCUGGCGUUUGGGCUCGGCCUAACAACACCUUCUUAAAGUUUGACCUCAAAUCAGGUAGGAUUACCCGCUGAACUUAAGCAUAUCAAUAAGCGGAGGAAAAGAAACCAACAGGGAUUGCCUCAGUAACGGCGAGUGAAGCGGCAAAAGCUCAAAUUUGAAAUCUGGUACCUUCGGUGCCCGAGUUGUAAUUUGAAGGUAGUUUUCUGGUGCUGGUCCUUGUCUAUGUUCCUUGGAACAGGACGUCAUAGAGGGUGAGAAUCCCGUCUGAUGGGGAAUCCAGUGCUAUGUAGAUUUCUACCGACGAGUCGAGUUGUUUGGGGAAUGCAGCUCUAAGUGGGUGGUAAAUUCCAUCUAAAGCUAAAUAUUGGGCGAGAGACCGAUAGCGAACAAGUACAGUGAUGGAAAGAUGAAAAGAACUUUGAAAAGAGAGUGAAAAAGUACGUGAAAUUGUUGAAAGGGAAGGAUAUUGGAUCAGACUUGGUGUUUUGUGAUUAUCUUCCCCUUGUGGGUUGUGCACUCGCAUUUCACUGGGCCAGCAUCGGUUCGGAUGGCAAGAUAAUGGCGCAGGAACGUGGCACUCUUCGGGGUGUGUUAUAGCCUGUGUUGAUGUUGCCUAUCUGGACCGAGGACUGCGGC
rnacentral:sRNA from 1 species